AAUUAAUGACAACAUUGCCUGAAUAACAGCAUAUUUAUAUUGUAAUUUCUCUGUUACUUGAUCGAUUCAGAUGAUCCAUCCCUAUCUCUGCAAUCGGAAAAUUCAGCGUUGUUGAUUCUGGGGCUGCUUCUCUCCAUUGGGAAACCAAACAAGAUGGAUGGUACAGUCCAUGAGUGUGAAUCUACAGCAGUAUCAGGUCUGAAAUGUCUUGAGAUUUCUGGGAUCUCUGAGCAGGAAUGGGAAUAGAAUCAGAAAUGGUGAGAAAAAGUCUGACUCUGGCAAGACUUGCAAACGGUCAGAAUGAGGACCAAGGAAGUUCCUAAUAUUGCUUCUGCUUCUGCUGUAAAACAAGGUUCAUUAGGUCCCCUGUCAGACAGUCCUGGUUCCAGAGCUAUUGCAGAGGAAGCUAUGCUUGGGCCACCCCUUGCAGGACUUGUCUCUGGAGAGGACAGAUGCAUAGAUUACAUUUGUGAAGAUGUGCCUGUGGAAAUCUUCUCGGUGGGGACAAUUUUGACUUGCAUCGAGUUAAUAUCUCCUGGGAAUGAGGCUGGGGAGGUGGUUAUUGCUUCCACUGGGGCCACAGCUGCCAUAAAUCCAUCUUCUUCUGAGCAAGCAGAAACAGGAAAGCAGAAGAAGACGUGGAAAAUAAACAGCAAGAUUUUAAUUUUAGAUAGCUGGUCAGAGUAAUAUCCUCAGGCAGAACCAGUGGGAAUUGAUGGUCAUAGAGAAAAAACAUUCAACAGGAAAAUUGGAAAAGCAAAGAGUAUCCACACUGGUCAUUUCUUCACAUCCCUUGCCUUUCAGAAGGAGGGACUGUUGUUAACGAUGAUCAGUUUAACUGCUGAUUUUUUAUUUUAAUUUUAUUUAUGUGUACUGAGAAAAAGAGCUGUGCCAGUUGCUGAAAACCAUGUUGGUUGCUUCUUAGUCAGCUGUACUGAGAGAUAAAGCCCAGGGCUUUGGGAUGUGAAGAAGAAUGCCUUUGCCUUUGAAUGAGUUUCUGAGUGAUACUUAACUUGUGUUUAAUGCAUCUUCCAGAGUUGUCAAACUGGAAGCUCCUUUGGGCUUGAACGAGGAGAAUUAAAUGGUAGGUGGUUCUCCAAAUGUCUCCUUCAAAGUCUGACUAGGUAUGUUAUCUGUGAUACAUUUUCAGCUUUCUAAAAUUCCUAGUACAGGUUUUUAUCCCUUCGUAAUAUUUUGAGCCUUAUGUUGGACUUAUGCCUCUUUAGAGAGCAUGAGUAAUUGUUUUUCAGGAAGUAAAAGAUUGCUGCAGAUGUGCAAAUACAGGUGCUCUUGCUCCUUCAGGAGUUCUCAGUUUUCUAUUACCAAGCUUCCCAGAAGCAGCUAGAAAAACAUGGACCAAAACUGGAGCUGUUGCUAGGUGAAAAUGAGAAAUAUCUGGUAAAAAACCUACUUUGAUAAUACAGGAGAGAUAUGAAGGAACAGCCAGCACUUACACUCAGCCUUUUCAAGUACACACACUUAUGCCUGUGCUGUUUUUUAAAAAAAUAAUAGAAAAAAAAAAACUUUAAAAGUCAGAAGUGUUGUUUCUUAAAAAAAAAAAAAAAAAAAGUAAGAUUCUGUAUGGUUUUCAUUAUUCCAAAUUGACACUUAGGGCAGUGGCUCACAGAGAGGAGCACACUACACCUUGAAACCAGGUCCUGAAGUUCUAAAAAAAUGCGACUUUCCACCUCUCCCCAGGCAACCAAGUCUAGUGGAAGGUGUCCCUGCCCACAGCAGGGGCAUUGGAACCAUCUGAUCUUCAAGGUCCCUUCCAACCCAAAGCAUUCUGUGAUUUUCUGAGUUAAGCAGUGGCUUGGUUGUACCCACCCAGUGCUCAUAUGCUUGGCAGAUAGGGGGUCUCUGAACAUGGCAUUGGGGCUUUGCUUGUAAGGGAGCCUCAUAGCAAGAGUUCAGCAGCUAAACUGGGCAAUGGCUGGUCUAAGACUUGUCUCCGUCUCUAUUUCCUGCCUGCAGGACUUGGCCCUCAUUUAUCAGGUGUGCCCUUCCAGAGGUCAAGGGCUUUGGGUGACUUCUGUCCCUGGCCUCUCGUGUUGCAGUGCUCACCAUGCAGGCAGGAAGAGAGUAGUUUUCUCAUACUGCAUGUAGUGGGGGAAAAAAAGUUUUCCUGCUGGAGUUAAAAGAAAUGGUAACCCCCUCAGGGGGUGGUGACCCUUGGGGUUGAGCCAAUGAGCGCUCCUGCAAGAUAUAAACAUAUCAACAGCCAGACUGGAAAAGAAGGGUAGUAGUUGUUGUUGAAGUGGCCGUGUUGUAGAGCCACGAGGAAGGGGCCCAGAGCCCCGUUGGGGGCUAGGCCCCCCCAGCCCCAGCUGGGGGGCUGCAGGAACUUGGACAGUGUUAAACUGGACUGAGAUCUGUAGCUAGAAAGCUGAAGGAGUUUUCUUCAUCGUGAGUGGGCAGACGGAGCAGCAGCAGAAACAGCACUGACCGGAGAACAGUGGCAGAGAGCCAGAAGGAGAUAAGGAGCAGCAGGGAUGGCAUGCAGCUAAGGAAGACACAGAGAUCUCUAAUGGAGAGAGAGAGAGCAGAACUAAGCCCUACAGAGACAAAGUUUGGGGUGAGAACUAAAACAAACCCCCCAAAACCCUUUUGUGACCUCUCCUAAGUGGAGGGGGUGCACUCCUACUGGAUGGAAGUCCUAAAAUGCAGCAUGCACCGGAGAGAGGAGCUGAGAAGCUCAAAGAUGUCCCGGAACUGGACUGGGAUGGCCAGAUGGAAUGCAGAGGGGGUGACCUUGCCCCCCCCCCCCACUGUUACUGCUAAGUUAACAGCCUGAGACAGAGCACGGGAGCUCUGCAAGGGAGCUCGAAUCCCCUGAGGAUAGGGACUGUCACGAAGACUCCUGCACUCGUGAUAUGACGUGGUGAAGCGACCUUUGUCCUGGUGAACGCAGCCCACGGAAGAGAAAGACCCUUGCUUGAAGUCGAAGGGCUGAGAAGGGCUUGGAGACCGUCCUCGUGUGUAAUGGAAAGAGAUCCAGCUACAGCUGCUGCAUGGAAGAUAGAAGAGAGACUGCUGCCCUAGAGAGACUGCUACUCAAAGAGUGGAAAGGAUCUUUCCUUUUCCCUUCUGGACUUUUAUUGGAGGGAGAAAAGAUUGAUCCAUUGUAAAUACUGAUUUAUCAUAGGAAAGAUAGUUAAGAUUAUGUAUAUGAUGUAUUGUGAUAUUUAUUUGUGCAGUCAUUGUAAUAUAAUCCCCUUUCCCCCCAUACUGAGUCUUGUGUGGUGUCUGGAAAACCCAUCUCACACUGGUUGAGAUGUGGGGAGGGGAGCUUGGACUUAAGAACUGGAUUUUGGGGGUCUCAAACUACAACACUGCAGCAAUGAGUUUUUGCAAGCAUAGACUCCUCAAUAAGACAAACACUGAAUGUAGCAGGAAGAAAAAUGAAGACUGUCACAAGAACCACUUGGUCUCAUGGUUUAGGGACUCACCCAGGAGGCACCAGAGUGAGAAGAGUUCAACCUGGAUCUCUGCAUUACAAAUAAAUAAAUCACCAAACUGCUGCCUCAUUGCCACAAACCAUGUUCAGUAUUUCCUCGUGCUCUUGCUUGAUCUUGUGGAAUUAAACAAACAUCUCUUUAAAGACAAGAAAUAUGCAAAUAGCUGU